GAUUAAUUUUGUGACUUUUGUGACUAUCUAAAGGAGAAAACGUAGGCUACCGUCGACUAUUUUUUUCAAUAUGUGCCAUCGAAAUGACGCAGGAUUCAUAAUAAUUAUCUGCUGUAAGAAUUGGACUUGCUAGAUCACCAACCCUAUCACGGACCAAUCUCUCAUUCCAUCUUCUAGAGAACCUUGGCUAACUGUUUGGUGGUUUCAUGUGUUUGAAACUAUUGGUUUCUAAAUGUGCAUGACAGACUUUAAGAAAAGUCAUGUUGAAGAAAAAGGACUGUCUACAGUCAUUGUUUGGUAACCCGUUGGCUGCUACCCUUGUUAUCCGUUACUUCCUUAAGCAGGCCUUCUUGAUUUGAGGGUAACUCCUCUGCUACUUAUCAUGGACUUCAUCCAUUGGUGAAAAAAGAUAAGAGAAAGCUGUAAUUCAGAUGUCUAAGCCGGAAGCCUACUAUGAUUAAUCGCUCUCGUAAUAACUGUUCAACUCUUCGCUCUUUUUCCGGUUUCUCUUAACCAUUGGCCAGGUAGUCAAUUAAGGCAGUGUCUUCCCCUGGCUUGAUUGUGUGUGAGUUUCAAAAACAGUUUAUCACCCAAAUGACAAAAGGAGUCGGUUAGGUUUGUUUUAUAUGGGUAUAAACUGCUUUAAAAUUUGCACAGAACAACAUUUGUCUUGUACCGGACGUUUUGUUUAUUAAAUUUCAAUCAUUUUGGCUU